AUGACAAGGAAAAACUUGGUAUCUGUGCCAACUUUUUCCUCCCCCUCCCCUCCUCCCUCUCUCUUCUCCUUCCCCUUUCCCAACUGCUGCCAGCCGGCAUCAGCGCCGAAUUGCCAUCUCCUUGAGCUCUCUGUGGAGCAAUCUCAGAGAGCAGUAAGGUGUGACGCGGGGCUCUGCCGGCUUCGCAGCACCGCCUGCGGAAAGAGCGCAGGAUGGCGGAGGAAGAUUAAGAGAAAUCGCGAGCAGGGAUCGGCUGCCAUUGGUGUGUGCAAACGCCGAGGAGGAAGGGAGAGGGAGAGUGAGGAGGGGGAAGAGAAAGGGGGGAAAAACCAGCAGCUGUCGGCCUAAUUCUUCUAACACUCUGCUUGUGGUCAUAUUAGAAAAACAGAUUAUGCCCCUCGGUGCCACUCACUUAUACUUGACAUACGUUAAUGUUCUAUAUCUCCAUUCUUGGGUUUUGACAACGGUGGACUUGAGGUCGAGGAGGUGGGGGCCUGAAUGGCCAAGGGGCACAAAAGAGAUUGUCCUCUCCUUCUCACUUGACCUCCCAUUCCAACCUCUUGCACUUUUAGCAAGCAAGCCUUGGGCCCUGUUUGCAACUGGUGCCAUUUCUAACUAAUGCAAUUGGCCUGCAUUUUGCAACUCCUUAGAAGGUGCAGAGCUCAUAGGUGACCUGGAAGCACUUUGCCCUAAAAGUACCCCCCUCCCCAACUCCUCUCCCACCUCCUUUAGUCUUAACAGGUCACUUUAGAGCCAAGUGAGACCAGUUCUGUGGCAUGCCCACACCUAAUCUUUCUAUGAGCACCCCCCUUUUCAAAAGUUGAGGUCAGAUAAAGGAGUCUAUGAUAGAGGGUAUUCUGCAGAGAGUUGGGGAGGUGGAGAGUUACAAAGAAGCCGUAAGCAAAAUGAGGGCAGGAUUGUUUCUGGGUUGCUAUGGAAACCAGGUUUUGCUCCUCCUGGCUGGAAGGAAGGAGUGCCUGAGGCCUUCCUCCUUCCACCAAUCCUGAAGGUUGUACAGGCAGGUGGAGCUUGCAUAGUUGUAGGGAAGGGGCUGGUCUUGUAGGACAAAUCAGCCACUUCCCACAUCCUGCCAUGCCAGUCCAGAGCCCUUUGACUCUCACCUUCCUUACUUUCCCACCCCAGUAUUCAGUCAAAGGAGGCUUUUUCCUUUGGUGCCUUGUCCUCUAUGGAGACCUGUUGCUUAGCAACCACUAGUGCCUUCUUCCUAAUAACUCACAGGGACUGAGAGAUAUAAUAUCUGUCUCUAUAUUCAGUUCCCUUCCCUUGUCUAUUUAUAUUUAAUAACUGAAGCCCUGUCUUGAGUUCCCUUGGCACCUGCUUUAGAGGGCUCUUAGAGGGAUUAAUCUGCAGCCUGAAGAAAGAAGGUUACACCUGAGGAAAAGCUUCUGAACAGGAAGAGUGGGAGAAGACUGGAGUGGGAAGGGGAUCAAGGGAAGCUGUGGAAUCAGAUUCUCUUAAGCAAAGGUAGAGAAGGGGAACAAAGUAUUUAGAAUGUGGCAUGUGGGAAGGAGGUGUCCAUAGGGAUUCCUAGGGUCAGUUCCAGGGCCUGGGGGACUCCAUCAACUGCUCCUCAGGCUGGCACUCCACUCCCCACACUGCUCCCUACCCAUGCUGCCUAGUCAGUUCCAGUCAGGUUCCUCUCAUAUUUCUGUAUGUCAGUUUUCCUUUCCUACCGUCUGGAUAUUGGUGCAGGAGGUGGGAGCUAUGCUAACACAGGUCCUUCAAGAAGUUUUGUGGUCACUAGGAAGAAUUUUCUGAGCUCUCCACUGGAAAAUUCAUCACCUGAUCUUGCAGUAGGGGCUAAUACGAUAUCACCAAAAAUGAAGCCCUGGGAAGGUCUAUAGCAGUCUGGCAUCUGUAAGCAGAGUGAGAGUCUGGGUUUCUAUUCCCUCUCUUUAGUCUCCUUUGUCCUGUGGUUACCUACUUAAACUGUUAAGCUCCUACCCCUUGUUGCUGAAUCUAUAGUAAAUCUGUAGAUGUAGUAUAGCAAUAAUGUUUACUUUGCUGGACUUUAGCAGGAUCAGUUAAAGUGGUACAUGAAAGAAAAUACUUUGGUUGAGAGUGGUGGUGCAGGCCUAUGAUCUCAGCUAUUGGAGAGGCUGAAGCAGAAUCAUCUCAAAAUAAAAUUUUAAAAAAGGGCCAGAGGGUAUAUAGCUCAGAAAUUGAGCAAUUUCCUAGCAUGCACUAGGCACUCCAUCAAAAAAAAAAAAAAAAGAAAGAAAGAAAGAAAGAAAAAAGAAAAGAAAAUACUCUGAACUCAAAUAUGUUUUUUAGAGGAGGAAAAGUUUAUUUGGGGGCUCAUGGUUUCUGAGGUCUCAAUUCACAGACAAUCAGUUCCAAUGCACUAGGCCCAAGGUGUGACAGAAUAUUAUGACCGAAAAGUGUGGUGGAGGAACACUGCUCAAAACAUGGCCACCGCGGGGCUGGGGAUGUAGCUCAAGCCGUAGUGCACUUGCGGUAGCGGCCCAGGUUUGAUCCUCAGCACCACAUACAAACAAAGAUGUUGUGUCUGCUGAAAACUAAAAAAUAAAUAUUAAAAAAUUCUCUCUCCCUCUCUCACUUAAAAAAAAAAAACAUGGCCACCAGGAAGCAGAGAGCUCAAAUAUUAUUUUAAGGUCUGAAAAGGUUCUGAUUGCUGGGCAGAGGGUGGUAGCAUAAAUUUAGCCAAGCCCUGGCUUGGGAGUAUCCCUUUCCACAGCUCUUCCCAUUGCCCAUCUUCCAUUACUUUGUUGGAGUAGGGGUAUGACUCCUUGCCCUCUGGUCAGUAGAGCUGGGAAUUAUAAAUCCAAAUCAAACACAAAGCUGUCUCAGGAGAGAAGUGUAGCAAUGUCUCUAUCAUCCUCCUCACCUCCAGUCCUAACCUCAGAACUUUAGUUCCCAGUGGCCAAGAUAGCAGCUGUGCUGACACCCACCUCCUACUGACCACUCCACCCCUUUCCCUGACCAGCACCUUCACUGCCAUUGUGCCAGCUCACACAUGUACAAUUUCACCCACCAUGCCCCCCUUCUCCGAACCUCUUCCAACCCGAGCCUUCUGUGGGAGACAGAUGGGGUGUCUGCGAUGGAAAAGGCUCUGGGCUCUACGCCGCCUUCGGUGGGCAGCCCCCCUCCUCAACUCCCACUGCUCCCUCUCCCUACCUAAGACACUCGGAUUCACCCCAGGCAGCCCUGGGAGCUGCUGAGGAGUCCAACUCUCUUAUCAGGCUCAGUUCCAGAAGCAGAGUCAGAAUGGCAUCUUUCCCUGAGACCCAGACCUUAGACCUCUUCAUGGAAGGCCAGUGCAAAGGAGGAAGUAGGUUAGGGGGUGGUAGGGCUCCAUGUGAUGGUUCUAAGGUGGAGAGACAGGGAGAGUCUGUGGCCUUUCAUUGAGGAGUUUGGAGGCCUAAGUUGUCAGGAGGCAAAGCCAGUGCAGCUCCUUUGUUCCAAAAAUCUGGGGUCCCUAGAGGGAGGCUCAGCAGGGGGAGGGGAAAGGAAGCUAACAUUACAGAGCACCAACUGUGAGUUAGGCACAGUGCCAGAGACUUUCCAUACCUGUACUCCUAACCAACAGUUGAGAAGUCAGGGCAAAUAGUGUCUCAGGAACCCUCAGCAUCAUGGCACCUCCUCCAUGGCACCUUCUGUGAUGCCAAUUCUCCUGCCCUCAAGCUGCUUCUGCUCUCUCCCCUUUGCAAGCUGAUCUUCUGCUCCUUCUUGCACCUCAAGUACUGGGAAUUGAACCACAGGUGCUCUACCAUUGAGCUACAUCAGUAGUCCUUUUUAUUUUUUAUUUUGACAGAGGGGGUCUCACUAAGUUGCUGAGGCUGUCCUCAAACUUGUGAUCCUCCUGCUUCAGUCUCCUGAGUAGCUGGGAUUACAGACAUGUACCCCUUCAUCCUGCCUCAUUAAACUCAGUCAAGUCCCCCAAUUAUGCAUUUUCAUGGUACCUUGUGUCCUUCUUUCUGAGCUCUUAGCACAGUUAUUUCACUCUUGCUGUGCAGUCAUUUGAAUGAUGGCCUUUGUUUGCUUAGAUGGAAAGUUCUGUGAGGGCGUUGAGCAUGUCUGUCUGUGUUCACUAGGGUGCUCCCAGUGCCCAGCACAGUUCUUAGCAUAAAGCAUUUGUUUGAUAAAUAUUUGUUGAAUGAAUAAAUAAAUAAUAAGGGGAUCUGUGCCCUAAACUCAGCUUCUCAAGCUAUUCCUUCACUCCAGAGAUGACCCAUUCCAAUGUCUGGACCAAGAAACAGGGAGGUCAGGCCAUCUCAUUCUUCCUGAAGAAAUCUUGAGGAUCAGACAGUGAUAGUUGCAGAAUAUGGGCCCUUGCUCUGCCACAGCCUAGCCCUUCCUGUUUGCUUUCCUAGGGAAAGAGGGAGUUA
rnacentral:lncRNA from 1 species